rnacentral:rRNA from 1 species
UGGGGAAUAUUGCACAAUGGGCGCAAGCCUGAUGCAGCCAUGCCGCGUGUGUGAAGAAGGCCUUCGGGUUGUAAAGCACUUUCAGCGAGGAGGAAGGGUAGUGUGUUAAUAGCACAUUGCAUUGACGUUACUCGCAGAAGAAGCACCGGCUAACUCCGUGCCAGCAGCCGCGGUAAUACGGAGGGUGCAAGCGUUAAUCGGAAUUACUGGGCGUAAAGCGCACGCAGGCGGUUUGUUAAGUCAGAUGUGAAAUCCCCGCGCUUAACGUGGGAACUGCAUUUGAAACUGGCAAGCUAGAGUCUUGUAGAGGGGGGUAGAAUUCCAGGUGUAGCGGUGAAAUGCGUAGAGAUCUGGAGGAAUACCGGUGGCGAAGGCGGCCCCCUGGACAAAGACUGACGCUCAGGUGCGAAAGCGUGGGGAG